CUUCGCGAGUUUGGAGACCAGCCGAUUUUUCACGAAGCAAGCAAAGACCGCGGUCCCGGAUCCUGCAACAUAUACCUCAUUUUCUCCAGGCCUCUCCACUUGCCCGAGCUCUCAGCCACCAGGAGACAGACGGAAGGGGCUUCUGGGCUGUGUUGGGAGCGGGCAUUGUCCCCUACCCACUCCUGCACAGUUUCCCAAAGUCCAGCCACCUCCGACCCUCCUUGGGGGAAAAAAUACCAGUACCCAGACACCUCUGCACCCUGUUAUAUGACUGGGCUUGCUUCAGGAAUAUCUUACAAAGAAGAAGGAGGAGGAGGAGGAACGGCUUGGAGUCAUGUUUACAUCUAGUUCUACUGAUCCGUUCACAUCUGGAGAGUUUAUUUAUAACUCCCUCUAUAACUCUCUGUUUGGAGGCACUGGUGGCUCUACUGACAGACUGAUGUCUAGGAAAUAUUGCUCUAUGUCUAAUGGUACCUAAAUGUGCUGUGGUUGUAUUUACAGAUUUACGUUUGAGGGAAAUAUAAUUAUUUCCAUUGUAUUUGUGCAUAUACAGUAGUUAUAGGAGCAGAUUUAUAUAUGGGAAAAUAUGCGACUCCCUUACAGCCAUCCGGCUUUAUGUACAUUUGAUAUCCUGACAGAUUUAUAUCUCUGAACAGCUAUAUAGAUAAAAACGUAUAUUGUUAGAAUUAUGUAUCAGGAGAUAUAUACUUAUUGAUUGCGAAAUAGAGUAGUUAGAGCAUUCACUUAGAGCCAUAUAUGGCUAUGGAGAUAUUUCUAUAUUAUUAUCACUGUAUAUAGGCAUAUCUAUUUAUAACUGCAUAGUUAUAAAAAUAGACAUAAGUAAUUAUAGUCCUAUAUGUGCAUGCUGCAAUCUCUCUCUAGAGUUAUAGACACUUUCAAAUAUAACUCUAUAGAGAAAUCUGUAUGUAUAUAAGGUGUAAUUAUCCAGUGAUGUGUUUACGUUGGGACUUAGGCCCAUCUGUCUAGAACAGACACAUUUAUAUGUAGGGGCUGGGAGAGACUUAUUCACAGAUAUCUGCAGAGGGCCGACUGGAAACACUGUAUCUGCCCUCUAGGAAACCAGCUAGGAGAGUUGUGUACUUAUGGAGGGAUGGAGUUACAAAAGGGUAAAUAGAGCUCAGGGAGCCUUAAGGAGGGGAGGUGAAUGGAGGGUGGGUGGGCUCGGUUUGAACAGAUAGUGGGAGGAAAGGGGUAAACACCAGCACCCACCAGAAGGCGAGAACCAGUUUUGUGAGGGGCUGGUGCAGAUGACUGUGGACAAGGAGCUUGUAAAAUGAGAAGCGGCUAACAGUCCUGCCACCUCACCCUGAGACACUCUCCACCGAGGAAGCAGCCUUCAGUUUGGCUUUUAGUGCACUGUAGGAUAGGGACUGUCGUGUCACUCCUGUAGUCCUAGAGCGUUUCUCUUGAACCUUAAUUUUUAGGUCUUAAAGAGUGGGCUUCAGAGAUAAAGAGGUUUCGGCAGGGACAGGGCGAGGAGCGUGGGGUGUACUUUCGCUUUCCAAUAAGUAAGGUAAUCCAGGAAAGUGAGUUAAUUUGGCCAAAUAAAGCUUGUUUUUAUGUGGGCCUCCUGUGCCCUGGUGGGGAUGUAGGAUGGGACCAGAAUCUGGUGGACUGAGGAGUGAAUUUCCAAGUAUUGGGCCUGCUCUGAUGGGGGCUUGGGGAGGUUGUCCUCACCACCCGCCCUCCUUCUCUGAGGCCUGAGUGGCCUAAUUCCCUCUGGGUACAGAGGGACUCCUUCAGCUCCCUAACAGUGCUGCCCUGGGUCUUUUCAGGGAGAAUUUGACUUUAGGAACAGGGAACAUGGACUUACCCCACUAGAUCUCACUUCUCCUACUCACAGCUACACCACUCUUACGUCAGCCUCCUUCCAGGCGCCACUCGGCCAGGGGUCCACAGUUCUUCCCCUGCUACCAACCAGCCCAGUGGGGAAAUACCUCCCACGACUGCCAGUUUUUGUGUUUUUGUGUGUGUGUGUGUGUUUUUUUUUUUUUUUAACCAGGAACUUACAGAUUAACUUCAUUAACUGCGUGAAGGAAUUGUCCUGAACUCAGUCUCUGUGGCCAACCUAGCCUCCAGGAUCUCUAGGAUGCUAGGAAGGGAGUGGAGACCCUUGGACCAGGCUAACCACCAUGUGCCAUCCUCCACACACCCCUGCCCACAGGACUAGGAAUUCCUGCAGUGUAGGGACUCUGUCUGCUGCCUGGCACAGAAUGGUUGCCCAAACAUACUUCUUGAGGUAAAUGGAAUGGCAGUCAAUACAAAAACUCACCCUCACUCUGCACACCACCAUAGCCACUGCUGGCUAGCAGGCACCCUAGCCAGGCUAGGAGAUAACAUGGCGGCUGGCAGCAGCUUGGGCUUUGACCGGACCGGUGGUUAGUAGGGUGGGAGAGCAUCCUGAGCCUAGGAUGGGGCGGGGACUGGAGCAAGGCACCUGGAAUCCAGAAAUUUGGGGGUAAGCCAAGGCAGACCCACCGCCCCAGUGAACUUCUGUUUUCUAUCUCCAGUCUCAUGGCUCCCUGGACCCCCAAAAGUUAUGAAAACUAAACCAGAGCUGAGAACUGGGCUAGGAUGGAAUUGCCUGUCAACCCGAGGGAUGCAAAGAGGAACCACCGUUGGGUCCAUUAAGAAAUCCACAAAUAAAAUAAAAAUAAAUCAGUGUGACACAGACCACCUGGCUGAAGGAAAGGUUUCUCUCUAUGCCUCAGCCCUGCUCCAGGGCUACCAAACAGAUCAGGCUUAAUAUUUAAAAUGUUUAAUAGUUAAAAUUUUUUAACAAUUUAACUUUAAAAAGGUCACACAUUUUCUGAUCCAGCAAUGCCCCAAUCAGAUUGUUUCAUUUUAUUAUUAUUAUCAACACUGUCCCCUUUUUGGCACCUGUAAAAUAGUUCCUUUCGGGAGUUUGGAGCCAGGCCAGGCACCGUAGGUGCAUGGGAUGAGAUGGGCAGGUUUGGAGCUCCUCUGUCUAGUGAGGAUCACGGUCUGCAGAGAAGGGUUGGCCUCCCCGUCUCCCAUCAAGGCUUAAAGCAAGGAGAACCAUCCCGAAUUUGGUUCCUUUUCCACUAAGUAUCCUUAGAGGCGAUCCACCCUGUGACUAGGUGACUAGGUGAAGGACUGAGGUCCAGAAAGGAGCUAUCUUAAACCUGGAAUCCCAUUUCCUAGUCUGCAGCCUUAAGCAGUUUCCCUCUCAGACAACUAGCCCUCUCCUUCCUCCGCAUGAAAACCCAUGGCUUACAGGGAUGGUUGUUGCUUUCCCUAAAGAAAUUCAGGAAGGGAGAUGUGAGGGUCAGUUCUCAGCGGUGGCGUUCUUUGAAGGGGACGCAGCCUGACUGCCAGGAGGGGAGGAGUCGGCCCAGCCAAUGCGCAUGCGCGAAGCACAAGCGGUUUCUCCCGUCACAGUGGUUCCCACGGUUGUCUUAGAAACCAGUCCCCGAGGCUUGGCAAAGGGGGAGACUUCCGUGGCAGUGCUUGGGUGUCAAGGCUCUGAGGCUCCGGCCUGACGACUCCACUGGGUCGAGGGGAAAGUCUCCGGAUGCCAAGAGUCACAAAGGGCCAAACAGGGUGAGGAAACCCGACGCAGAGUCCGGAGAAGGCAGCAUGGAAUCCCUCCCUCAGGCCUCUCUGGACGGUGUUGGUGGGGGUGAGUCUCCCCAAAAGUCGUGACGCGGUGAUCUCGAGGACAGGACGGCCUGCGUGCCCCUGGGGUGCUCUCUCACCGAAGGGUCGUUCUCGUCGAAAGCAGAACCCCACAGCCUCAGGGGUUGCCUGGCCUCUUUUCUAGGAUCAAGAUGAACACACUGCAGACGAGGACACGAGCCCCACAGGAGCUCUUUGUCCCGCAGGAGACCAGCGGACCCACGUCAGAGAAGAUGCUUGUAUCUUUUCAUGGCUCUUCUCUGAGAAAUGAAGCCACACCACAAUAAGGUCUGGAAGAGGAAGCCGGGAAUGGGAGAUGGCAACAGUCCCUGUCACUGGAAUGCUGGCCUCUCUGGACAAGCCACCCUUUUGGAACCCCACCCCUUAUGACCCUGGCAGUGGAACGGUGAUAUAUCCUGCCUGGCCGCCGGCGUCUGCCCUGUCCUCCCUCCUGCUCUGCCUCACCUGUUUCUCAAGUGCCUCAAUGCCUCUCGCUGACGCCCAAUGUCUUCAACAAAGAUGACUUCCCAGUCCGUCAGGGAGACAUUUCUUCGA